CUGAUCCCUGCAGCGGGUGUACGCAACGUUAAGGUGGUCCAGAAGGAAUAACGAUCAAAAACAGGUAAUUGGGCAAAUGCCUUGGCCGGGUCCAAUGCAUCGGAUCCUAUAGAUCUCUGUUUAUUUUAAUAUCUCUGACUAUUAAAAGAAGUCACAGUUUUGUAGAUUAGAAGUUAGUUCAACAAUCUUUGGAUUAUAUAGUUGAGAGUUAAUCAAGUUUUUGAGAGGUGUUCUAUAGUCCCAAAGAACACGCGACGUACAGUUACAUUGGUUGAAAUACAAAUUUUUCAAUUUGACCUAAAAAAAAAAGAA
rnacentral:lncRNA from 1 species